rnacentral:lncRNA from 1 species
CACGAACAAGGCCUUCAUCAAACCUGAGAAGUCGAAGCACUGCUUGAGUGUGUUGAUUUUGCAGAGCCAAGUGCAUGGGGCUAAACCCAGCUUGGUUUAGCUUUCUUGCAAACGAUGGCUUUAAGUUGAUCAUCUCCAUCAUAAAAUCAAUAUGCCCUGCAGAGGCUGCUACAUGCAAAGGAGUAUGGAAAAAAGGUACAUCAUCGAUACGCUGAAAAACAUAUGGAUCAUUCAGAAUUAACUCAUACAAGAUGUUUAUGUCUCCUGUUUGUGCAGCACCUAUCAUCCUCUCAUCCAUAGCAAGGUGCGGAAAUUUGCAGAAUAUAGAAAUGGAGUGAAGAAAAAACGCUUUAGCAGACGAUGUGAUUAUGUUAAGGAUAUACUGAAGUGUUUUAUUAUUUUUUCCAGAUGGAGUGUGUGAUAUUUUAUAGCACUUAAUUAUUUUGGAUUUAUAUGUGAUGUCAGCCACUACACGUAUACAUGUGAAUGUCACCUAUUAGAAAGAAAUAGUAAUUAUAUUUAGUAAUUAAAUUCAUAUUUAAUAUAUAUUUUUAAUCUAAUUUUUUAACUCAAUUUAAUUUUAGUUAAAACGUUUAAAAACAUUUAUUUAAUUUAAUUUCUUUAAUAUAUUAAAUAAAUUGAAUUAGAGAAUAUAUUAAAUAUGGAUGAAUACUAUAUCAUACUAAUUUUAUGUCUCUAAAAAUUAAUAAGGUGUCAUUAUUUUAUUGGUGCUUAAAAAAUUAAAAUAUUUAGAAUCAUCCUAAUAUAAGUUAUUCUAUUAAUAAUAAUAUUUGGUACUUCCACGAGUAAGUUCAAUAGUUUGACAAAUGUCUUAUAAAAGUAUAGUAAAAUAUUAAAAAAAAUUAUUUAGUGACUUAAUUUUUUAAGAACAUUUGAUAAUUUAUAAAGAAAAUAAAUAAUAAUUUUUUUCAAUAAAAAAGUGUGAAAAAAUGAUAAGUAGAUAAUAACUAUUAUCACUUACAACAUGUUUGGAUUAAAAAGAUAGAAAAAAGGAGGGAAAAUUAAGUAAAAUGAGGGAAAGAAAAUUCGGUUUCUUUGUUUAAGUUAAGUAAAUAUCGUAUCAUUAGAUUUUAUAUUUUAGGGUCUGUUUGAUUGAAGGAAUUGAUUUUCCGAAAAAUCAUUUUUAACUUUUCCAGCGUUUGAUUGGCGGAAAAUAUUUUCCAUUUGGAAAAUGAACUCCAAAACAUGGAAAAAUGGGUUACAUUUUAGGGAAAAUGUCUUACCCUUUCAAUUUCCGUAAGACAUUUUCCGUGCUCUCCUCUCUAUCUCCUCCUUCAUUCCUUCCUUCAUUUCCGGUAAAAAAUUGUUACUGUUUAUCGAUUUUCUAGUAACUUGUUUUUUUAAUUAUUCAAUACUUAUUUUUUUAACACAAUUACAAAUAAUUUAUUUGAUACUAAUUUUUUUCAAUUUAUAAUGAUUAAUAUUGUAGCUUAAUAAUUGAGUAUUAUUAUAAAUAAAUCAUUGCAAUAUAUGUAAAAAUAAUUUAAAAUAUAAAAAUUUAUUAAUAUAUAUCAAUAUAUGUAAAAACAAUUUUUUCAAAAAAUAUUUACCAGAAAUCUGCCAAACAGCCGAAAAUAUUUUACACAGAUUCAAUCAAACACCAGAAAAUAUUUUCCAGUAAAUCAUUUUACAGAAAAGUAAAAUAUUUUCCCGAAAUCAAUUUACGGAAAAUAUUUUACUGGCAAUCAAACAGACCCUUAGAUUAUUAUCUCUUCUUCUUCUUCUUUUAACUUGUAACCAUCUUAUUUUUAUUUUCUAUUUGUUUAGGUUACUAGAAAUAUUUAAUUUUAAAUUUGUUUGAUAUAUAUUUUUAAAAAUUUUAACAAUAUUUUUUAUUAACUAUUUUGUUAAAUUAUUAGGAAUCCUUCAUUUGUAAUUUGGUUAAGAUAUAUUUUUUAGUUUGAUCAAAUAAGCUUAUUUAAAAAAAAAAGAGAGAAUAUACCAAUAUAUUAUUGGUUAACAUUUUAAUUAUUAUUUUAUAUAGACUAUUGAUAUUGUUCUAUAAUUUUAAUUUGCUGUGAUUUAAUUUUGUUAUUAUAUAUUAUUUAUGAACUGUUAAAAUUAAAAAAUAAAAGUAAAAUAAUUCAUUUUCUUUCCUUUUCACAGUUUAGCAAAACAAGUCCACAAGGUCGCCCCAUUCAACAAAAAUUAAAUUGUUUAAAUAUAUAUAUGUAUAUAGGGACUAGUUUUAACAAAUAAAAAAUAUAGAAAAACUACAUUAAAAAAAUAGAGAAUGGAGGAAAACAGAGGGAGAAGCAGAAGACAAUAAAAAAUAAAGGAAAGUUAAAAGAACAUAAAAAAAUUAAAUUGAAUUGCUCAAAACGAAAAAAAUAUGGGGAUCAGUUGUAUAAAUCACCCUAAAUUUUUUGUUUGAAAGAUGAUUUAACAUGUCACAUCAGCUUAUCGUUAUAUGGUUAACGGAAAUUAACAGCUCAGUGACUAAAAUGUUACAACGCGAUAACGUAAGUGACUAAAAUGUAACAUUUCAAACAUAAAUGACUAAAAUGUAAGCAAAAGUGACUAUUUUAAUAAUUUACCCUUACAUUUAUCCAAACAUACGCUUAAUGUAAACAUUUUUCAAUUAUUUUUAUUUUAUUUUAUUUUUAACCAUUAUCCUUUAUCCUUACUUUAAAAAGUAUAAUUAAUAAAUAGUAUAAUUAUUUUUCAAAAUUAAUUUUAAGUAAUACACCAAAUAGAUUUUAUAACUUAAAUUUAAUAUUUAAGUUUAUAAUAUUUUUUUAUCAAACAACAUUUACUCCUAAGUAAAUAAAUAAAUAAAGGCCUUGUGUAAUUAAGAAAGUUGAGAAAGGGUUAAUCCUCACAUGGAAAAAAUUGGCUACAAUAAUGAAGGAAAGAGAAAAACACUAAGGAAUAUCCAAUAAUUGGGAGGCAAUAUGUCAAUUAUGAGCAUACCCCAUACUGUCAAUGGUGAUGGAUGAAUUGUCUACUAUACAUGGAUUUUGUUUUCCUUUUUUUUUUCCUUUUUUUGUUCUUGUCCUGUAUUAUUUGGAUUUGAGAUCCCAAGCUAUGUAUGUCAUCACAUUUUAAAUAUAUAUAUAUUUAUUAUGUAUUGAGUAUCAGUUUUAUUGGUAUAAAUAUUAUUGUUAAUGUAUGAGAAUAUAGAUUCAAGUGUGCACUACACCAAAACAGGCUUUUAACGGCACUUUUAGCGGCGUUUUGAGCGAAGACGCUGCUAAAAAUCGAAAAAUAGCAGCGUUUUAGGAAAAGCGCCGCUAAAGAGUGAGCAUUAGCGGCGUUUAUAAAAAAUGCCGCAAAUAAUACACCCAAACAGUGCCGUUUUAUGUCCUUUCGGGGGAAUUAGUGGCGUUUUUUGUAAAGCGCCGCUAAGGCUAAGACUUUUAGUGGUGUUUUUUGAAAAUCGUCGCUAAUCUAGGUGUUUUAGCGGCGUUUUUUGUUUAUGCGCCGCAAAAAUAAUUUAUCUUAAUUGAACUAUUAUUUAUAUUGUUUAAAUCAAAUUAAACAUAUUUCUAAUAGAAUAUUUAAAAUCUUCAAUAAAAAAUAACAAGUAUAAAUAAUUCGAAAUAAAACACAUGGAAAAAUUAAAAUAGUAUUAUUUAAAAUAAUUUUAAAGUUUGUUGGGUACAUUACUGAUUGUUUUUUAAUUUAUAUAUUAAAAAUUUGAAAUUAUUAUCGUAAUUAAAAGAGAUAGUAUUAAUUUAAAUUUAAAAUAUUGAAUUAAGCGUAUCACUAUAGUUAAUAUAGGGUUUUAGGUUUUAGGGGUAUAUAUAUAUGAUAUUAUUAAUUUAAGAUUUUAAGUCGGUUUAGGGGUUACUAUUUUAAGGUUAUUAUUAUAAUUGAUCAGGAGUAUAUAUAUAAUAUUUGAUUUAAGGAUAUGGUUUAAGGGCUGAGAUAUAAUGUUUAGGGGUUAGGGUUGGGGUUAGCACUUAAGGGUUAUUAAUUAGGAGUUAAUUAAGGAUUUAGGGUUUAGCUAGGGGUUGGGUUAGGGAACGUAGGGUUUUAGAUUAAUUAGUAUUGCCAAAUUAUAUAUUAAAUAUGUUCUUAUAUAUAUAAUUGUAAAAGAGGUAAUAAUAAAUUUGUUUAGGAUUUUUCGGUUCGGUAUAUGAUUUGGUUUCGGUAUAUUAUUAAUUUAAAUACGAAUUUGAAUAGUAAUGCUCAAAUAUAUAAUUCAUGAAUAACACUUAAAUACUUAAAUAAAUUUGUGAAUUUGAAUUGAAAUCAUCCAAAAAUAUGCAUAUACCUGAGUCGGUAUCUUUCCUAUUUUGAUCACUUCAAUAAAAAAAAUCCCAUAUAUAUAUAUAUUUAGUACUCCUUAAUUAUUUGUUUUCAUUAAUUUAUCUAUUUGAUGAAGGUCAAUAUAAUAAAUUAGUUAAUUAGACAAAUUUAUUCAUUUAUCAAUAAAAUAAAAUAUUAUAAAUUUCAAAUUUUAUACAAAAAUAAAUAAAUAUUAUAAAGAUAAUAUUGUUUAUUGCUACUUUAUACAAAAAGUUUUUAGUAUUAAUUAUUCUUUAAUCAAUUAUAACUAUUUUAUGAUAUUUAUUAAAGAUUUAGGGAUUAUUUUGGAUGGCCGUGCUAUUUUAAAGAUUAGGGGUACAGAUUUAGGGUUUGGGAUAUAAGAGUUAUCUAGGGGUUUAGGGGUUACAAGUUACAAUUUAGGGGUUAAAGAUUUAGGGUUUAGGGGUUUAGGGGUCGGAUAAGGAUUUUAGGUUAGUUUAGAUUAAUUUCUUUAAAUAAUAUUUUAAAAAAUCAAUCUAAAGUAUCAAUUGAUAUAUUUAAAUAUUAUUUUAAAUAGAAUUCAUAAAUAAGUUAAAAAUAUAUAUUGAUAUAUAUUAUAUGGAUAUGGUUAUAUAUUUAGGUAUAAUUAUUUAUUUUGGAAAUAUAUAUAUAUAGGACCAAAUACAUAAGAAAUGAAGUAAAAAAAACAAAAAAUUUCAAAACGGCGCCAUUUUUGAAUGAAUAGUUAAACUUUUAGUGGCGUUUUAACUGUUAAACGCCGCAAAUAUGGGAAAGCAGUCAUGGCGUUUGUACAAGAAACGCCGCAAAAGUGUCUUUAAAAUUGAGUAAACGACACCGUUUGUCUACACGAUUUUUAACUUAUAAAAAGUUUAGAAUUAUUUACUUGAAACGUCACCAUUUGGCUUGUUGUACGUUAAGUAUUAGUGGCGUUUUUACAAAAACGCCACAAAAUGUACAAUUUGAGAACAAAAAAACAGCGUCGUUUCUGCAUACAGGUUUAAAUUUUUAUGGCGUUUUCGCAAAAACGCAGGAAAUUUAGGAAGCAAUAGCGGCGUUUUUCAGUAAACGCCGAAAAGGGUAUUAAAAUAAUGUCUAAACGGCGCCGUUUCUGUACAUGAUUUGUAACUUAGAAAAAUUUUAGAAUUAUUUAUUCAAAACAUCAAUUAAGUAUUCGUGGCAUUUUUACACAAAACGCAACUAAUAAUACAAUUUGAGACUAGCAAAACGGCGCCAUUUCUGUUUAAAACUUGAACUUUUAGUGGCGAUUUUAUAUCAAACGCCGCAAAUGGGUUUUAAAAAAAUGGGUAAACGACGUCGUUUCUAUACAGUAUAUUUUACUUUGACAAAUUUUAGUGGCAUUUGUGCUUAAAACGCCAGAAAUAAUGCAAUUCCAGACCACGAAAACGGUGUCGUUUCUGUUCACAGCUGUAAUACGUAGUGGCGUUUUUAGGAAAACGCCGGAAAUGUGGAAGAAGUUGCGGCGUUUGUACCUAAAACGCCGCAAAACGGUGUUAAUAUAAUGGCUAAACGACAUCGUUUCCGUAACCGAUUUUUAACUUAUAAAAAUCUUAGAAUAAUAUAUUUAAAACGUCACCGUUUGGCUUAAAAUAGAUUAAGCAUACAGGUUUAAAUUUUUAUGGCAUUUUCGUAAAAACACAGGAAAUUUAGGAAGCAAUAGCGGCGUUUUUCAGUAAACGCCGCAAAAGGGUAUUAAAAUAAUGUCUAAACGGCGCCGUUUCUGUACAUGAUUUGUAACUUAGAAAAAUUUUAGAAUUAUUUAUUCAAAACAUCAAUUAAGUAUUCAUGGCGUUUUUACACAAAACGUAACUAAUAAUACAAUUUGAGACUAGCAAAACGGCGCCAUUUCUGUUUAAAACUUGAACUUUUAGUGGCGAUUUUAUAUCAAACGCCGCAAAUGGGUUUUAAAAAAAUGGGUAAACGGCGUCGUUUCUGUACAGUAUAUUUUACUUUGACAAAUUUUAGUGGCAUUUGUGCUUAAAACGCCAGAAAUAAUGCAAUUCCAGACCACGAAAACGGUGUCGUUUCUAUUCACAGCUGUAAUAUGAAGUGGCGUUUUUAGGAAAACGCCGGAAAUAUGGAAGAAGUUGCGGCGUUUGUACCUAAAACGCCGCAAAACGAUGUUAAUAUAAUGGCUAAACGACAUCAUUUCCGUAACCGAUUUUUAACUUAUAAAAAUCUUAGAAUAAUAUAUUUAAAACGUCACCGUUUGGCUUAAAAUAGAUUAAGUAUAAGUGGCGGUUUUUAUUAAAUGCCACAAAAAAUGAAAUUUCAGAGUAACAGAACGGCGCCGUUUCUGUUAAAAGGUUUACUUUUUUGUGGCGUUUGGUCUAUAAACACCAGAAAUUUGGAAUAAGUAGUGGCAUUUUUUCAAGAAACGCCGCAAAGGUGUUUUAAUAUUUUUUCUCAACGAUGUCGUUUCCGCAGAUGUUCUUUAACUUAGCAUUUACACUCGACAAAGCACAGAAAGCAAAAGCCAAGUGCAGAGGCCGAUUGGGAAGGGGAAAAAACCUAAGAAAAAAAUCUAAGGAAGAGAGGGGAGGAGAAAUCAGAAAUCAUCAAAGAGGAAGCAACGAUUGCGUCAUUCUUGACAGUAGUUGCAGAAUUUCUGGUUAAAAGGUAUGCGUUUAAUCCUUCUGAAGAACAUCGUCUUGAUUUAGGGUAAUUUUAGGUGCAUUGUGUUUUGCGAAUUUGGGGUUUAGGAAAAAAAUUUAGAUUUUGAGGUUUGCGGUUUAGGUUAAAACACCAUUCUUGUUUGGGAAUUUGGGGAACUUGUAAAUUAUUUAUUUAGCAAUUUAAAUAGAAGGGUUUAUUUAGGAAAAUUUUGUGUAUUUAGGGGUUGCCUGAAUACAAAUAUGGGUCCUCAACACAGCCUGUUGUUUCUCCAUUACAGCGAUUUUUGGAGAAGCAUAAAAGGGUAAGGACAGCCCUUCUGGUUGUGGUAGUAUUUGGUGCUUCUAUGGUCAUCUUUAUGGCUGUGGAUUCUAGAGUUUAAUCUCGGUUCCUCUUAAACAUAUGUGGCAACUAGGACAAUAAACAAAACUAUUAAUCAUGACAGUAUAUAUGAUUGUGGAUGGUGCUGGUGAGCUUGAAAAUACAUUCCCUUUAAUAGCUCUACUAAUAUUUUGCAUAUGGACUAGACAAGAGAUACCAAUAAAUAACUCGUCUGGUCUUACACCUGAAAGACUCAAAUUAACACAGAUUUAAACCCAAGCUAGCUGGUGAAGGUUAAACAAACCAUUUUCCUAAAAUUUUCUUGGCUGAGCCAUUAUUCGGACCAUGCAAUCAUUGUUGCAAUAGUGCAUAAUUAUGUUUGAUUCGUUUAGUGUGCUUAUUUCUCAGCUGGACAUAGUUGAUCUCCCAUGACAGAGUUAUGGAUAAUGAUAUCAGAAGUUCUUUAAUGAACAUAGUGGUGUCAUCGUAACUUCCACAUUACUUUGAUAACUUUAAUUGGUUGCAUUAUUCCUCCUAUCUAUAGUAUAUUGUUUGUGGUGGAUGGUUUGACAUGUCUCAGUGCUGAUAUUUCAUUAUUCAAAUAAGAUUUUUAAUUUUGGAUUUUGUUAUAUUUAAGCUUUAUACUAAUUUUUUCCUAGUACUAACUUACUUAUGUUUUCCUUUUUAUUUUUAUUUUUUGCAGUAGUUUGCUUCGAAGUCCAGGAAAUUGAGGUAUUUAUUCCUAUGUUUCCCACCUUGGUUUUCUUAAAAAAACACCUCCAAAUGUUUAAAUUUUGGAUUUUGUUAUAUUUUAUCUAUGUACUUUAAUUAUUAUUUUUGAGUUUUAAAAGGGAGUUUUAAUUAAGAAUUUUUUUUUAAGUUGUGGGUAUCGGUUUUAAUUAUCAUUUUUGAUUUAUAUGUUGCUAGCUCAAUUUGCAUGUUACUUUGCCAAAUUUUUCCAUAACUGCAAGGUAUAAAUUAUGAUUGUAAAUCUUGUACGUAUUUUUUACCCAAGCAAAAACAAUUACGCAAAUUAUUAAAAUUCUUAAAUCACUUUAUAUAUUGGAGUAAGUGAAUAAAUUAUGGGCGAAUAGUGGAUUUGUUUUAAAGUGAACAAAUUAUCGAUUUUCAAUUUUAUGCCAAUUAAUAAAUUAUCGACGUUAGUUCUCAUUUAUGCGAUUGAAUGUUAAUGUUUAAUAAUAUAUGAUUAUUCAAUAAAUUGAUCGAUUAAUUGAUUGAAUGUCAAUGAAUUAUCAAUUUUUGUAAGUUAAUUUGGUUAAAUUUAUUACUUAAAUACAUUACUUACUAAAAUACAUUACUUACUAAAAUUUGUUUAAAUUUAUUACUUAAAUAUGUUACUUAAAUACAUUACUUACUAAAAUUUAAGUAUAUAUUACAUUACUUACAUAACUUGUUAAAAUAUAUUAUAAUUUUAAAAAUAAUUAUAAUUAAGAUACAUAAAAGUGCUAUACUUACAUCAUACAUUAUUUACACAACCAAAAAUUGAAAUUUACAAGAACUUACAUAACUUGUUAAUAUUUAUAUAAACUUACAUAACUAUCACAUAAACUUACAUAAUAUAUAACUUACAUGUUACCUUACAUAAUACAUAACUUAUAUAAAAUUUUUAUAUAAACUUACAUAAUACAUUAUUUACAUAUUAACUUACAUAAGUUAUCUACAAGCUUGUGGUUAAACUUGCAUAACUUACAUAAUAACAUAACAACUUACAUAAUAUAUAACUUACAUGUUACCUUACAUAAUACAUAACUUAUAUAAAAUUUUUAUAUAAACUUACAUAAUACAUUAUUUACAUAUUAACUUACAUAAGUUAUCUACAAGCUUGUGGUUAAACUGGCAUAACUUACAUAAUAACAUAACAACUUACAUAAUACAUAGCAUAGAUAACUUACAUAACUUACAUAAUACAAAACUUACAUAACUUAAAUAUCUUACACAACUUACAUAACGUACAUAAUACAUAACUUACAUAAUACAUAAUAACUUAUAACUUACAUAACAUACAUUACUUUGAUAACUUACAUAACUUACAUAAUACACAACUUGUUAAGCUUACUUAAUACAUAACUUACAUAAUACAUAAUAACUUAUAACUUACAUAACAUACAUUACUUUGAUAACUUACAUAACUUACAUAAUACACAACUUGUUAAGCUUACUUAAUACAUAACUUACAUAACUUAUACACGUACAUAACUUACAUAAUUUACUUAAUACAUAAAUAUAUAUCAUAUGAUAUACUUACAUAACUCAUUUAUACUUACCACUCAACAACUUACCCUUGUAAUUUCUGGUGAAAAUCAGACGUCAAGAAAUAAGAAAUGGACCGGUCUUGGAUGAAUUUAUCAAGGGUAAGCGACGAUUAUCGAAAUGGAGUACAGACUUUUCUAAAUUUUGCAUUUCAAUAUGCAAGCCAGGAGAACAUGAUUCUUUGCCCGUGUAAGAAGUGUGUCAACAUAAACUGGCAUUAUCGUGAAGUUGUAUACGAGCAUCUAAUUGUUGAUGGGUUUGUUCAGGGUUAUAAACAAUGGUUUUUUCAUGGAGAAUGCCCGCCUAGUACUUCCUCAUCAAGGAUGGAUGUAUCUUAUGACAGUACUACUUACCAUCAGUCUGUUAGAGGGGAUGACAUAGAAGGGAUGUUGCGGGAAGCAUUUAAUAUUCACAACCAUGGUUUACAGUCGUUCCCAGCCGACUUUGUGGCACCUGAUGAUUGUAAUAUCGAUGGAAAUGCUUUUACCGAACCCGGAAAAAGUGUACAUCAUGAAGAGCCGAAUGGAGAAGUGGCGAAGUUCUACGCGCUACUUAAUGACAUGAAUGAAGAACUGUUUGAGGGAUCAAAAUUCUCGAAAUUGUCUUUCUGUAUUCGUCUUUUUCAGUUAAAGUGUUUGGGAGGGUGGACCGGGAACUCUUUAACAAUGUUGUUAGAGUUUCUGAGAGAGAUGUUUCCGUUUGCAAAAAUCCCUCAAUCAUGCAAAGAUAUGAAGAAAAUGAUAAAAAAUUUAGGUCUUGGGUACAACAAAAUCCAUAGUUGCCCGAAUGACUGCAUGUUGUAUUGGGGCGAUCGAAGAAACCAGCAAUGCUGUCACAUAUGCGGCCAAUCACGUUGGAUAAAUAGAAACAUAGAAGAUGGGAACGAUGAUGAAUAUGAUGCACUGGUAAGAAAGAAGCCGGUCAAGAUUUUGCGGUAUUUUCCGCUCAUACCAAGGCUUCAAAGGCUUUUCAUGUCAUCGAAGACAGCGGAGUCUAUGACAUGGCACCAUGAUGGACGAACCGAUGAUGGGAAUAUGAGGCAUUCGGCAGAUUCUUUAGCUUGGAAAUCAUUUGACAAUAAAUUUCCAAGCUUUGCAAGUGAUCCUAGGAGUGUAAGGCUUGGCUUAGCAUCUGAUGGAUUUAAUCCGUACAAGAUCAUGAGUAUUGUGUACAGUACUUGGCCAGUAGUGCUUGUUCCUUACAAUCUGCCUCCGUGGAUUUGCAUGAAGCAAUCUUCCCUUAUCUUAUCUAUGAUUAUCCCUGGAGAGAAAGGGCCCGGGAAUGAUAUCGACAUUUAUUUACAGCCACUUAUUGAAGAGUUAAAACAAUUGUGGGCUGGUGUCGAGACAUACGAUGUGCUGAGAAAUGAGAACUUUAAUCUACGUGCAGCUUUGAUGUGGACCAUUAAUGACUUUCCCCCUUAUGCCAAUUUAUUCGGUUGGAGUACAAAGGGUCGUUAUGCGUGUCCUUGUUGUGCUGCACAAACAUGUUCGCAAUGGUUGUACAAUGGGAAGAAGUUCUCUUAUAUGGGGCAUCGUCGGUGGUUACCGAAAAAUCAUAGAUUUAGAUUUCAGAGUUCUGUAUUUAACGGUACUGAAGAGUUCAGAGAAGCUCCUUCGCAGACCAGUGGCUCUGAAAUCUUGUUCAUGUUGGAAGAUAUGAAUUUCAUUUAUGGAAAGAUGAACCAACCGCCAAACACGCAAAGAAAUAGAAGAUCAAACGAUGAAGCUGAUGAUGACUCUGAUGAAGAGGACGAUCCUAAUGAGGCGGACUUGUGGAAAAAAAGAAGUAUUUUUUUUGAGUUGCCUUAUUGGGAGCAUCACCUUUUACGACAUAAUCUUGAUGUUAUGCAGAUUGAGAAAAAUGUCUGCGAGAACAUUGUGGGUACAAUUUUGAAUGUCGACGGAAAAUCAAAAGACAAUCUUCAGAGUCGACUUGAUUUAGUACAAAUAGGAAUCCGACCUGAUCUUCAUCCCAAUCCACUUCCGAAUGGAAAAUAUCGGUUGCCGCCAUCUAUUUUUUCAAUGUCGAAGACGGAAAAAGAAGUGUUCUGCACAGUGUUGAAGGAUAUAAAGGUUCCAGAUGCGUAUGCAUCAAAUAUAUCUCGAUGUGUUAGUGUUAAAGAUCGAAGAUUAUAUUCGCUAAAAUCACAUGACUAUCACAUCUUGAUGCAAGAUUUACUGCCAGUGGCUCUACGAUGUUGUAUGUCCAAGAAGGUGACGUCUUGUAUAAUUGAACUAUCCAACAUAAUGAAAGCCAUUUGUGGCAAAGUUUUGGAUGUUCAAGAACUUCAGAAGGUACAGGAUCGAGCCGCUUUGACUUUAUGCAACAUGGAGAAAAUAUUCCCACCUUCCUUCUUCACCAUUAUGGUUCACUUGAUAAUCCAUCUCCCGCACAAAGCAAUUCUUGGCGGACCCGUUUUCUAUCGAUGGAUGUAUCCCAUAGAAAGGUGUUAAUUAAAAUUUUUAAAAUUUUCCUUCAUUCACCUCUAUGCCUUUAGUUUCAAUAAUUAAGAAAUGUUAUAUAUUGUGUUUAGGUUUCUAUCCAAAUUAAAGUCUUACUGCCGCAACAAGCGAUAUCCAAAAGGAUCAAUUGCAGAAGGCUACUUGGCAGAAGAAUGUAUGACCUUCUGCUCAAGAUAUUUGGAAGAUGUUGAAACAAGGUUAAACAGACCAAAUAGGAAUGCUGGACUCACGGACCAUAACUUAGCCGAUACUUAUUUGUUCCAAAGUUUUGGAAAACCAAUCGGUAAAGUUGAAAUUGCAGAAUUAGAUCAUUUAUCGUGGGUACAAGCACAUCGAUAUGUUCUGUUUCACCACGAAUCAUUGGAACCUUUACGGAAGUAAGUUCUACAAAUUUGAUAAAUAUUUAUCAAACUAAUAACUGUUUAUCUUCUAACAAAGUGAACAUUUUUUUAACAUAGUGAGUACAAACAAAUAUUGAGAUCUCGUUCGCGCUCCCGAAGAACACAACAUCGAGAUAUCAAUAAGUUAUUUAUAGAAUCUUUUUAUGAAUGGUUAAGCCAAACGGUAUGCAGUUCGAGCUUCCGUUUACAAAUAAUAAAAUCCGUUUUCUUAUAACAUUUUUAAUUACUCAGUUUACUUUCCAUUCAAUAGGUUUGGAGUGGGAAGAACGUAAAGACGAAGUUAAAUGGCUCUCCCAAGGUCCAAAUCGAGUGGUUAAAAGAUAUAGUGCGUUCCUCAUCAACGGAUUCAGAUUUCAUACAAAAUAUCGCGAGAGGUUGAGGAGAACGCAAAAUUGUGGAAUAGUUGUCAAUUCUGCAAUUACAAGUUAUGCUAGUGCAAGAGACAAUAAUCCUGUCGCGGGAAAUGUGGAAUAUUUCAGACAUCUUACUGACAUAAUUGAGUUGGAUUACUACGGCAAAUGGAAAGUUGUCUUAUUUCGUGGUGAUUGGGCCGAUGUUAAUACAGCUCGUGGAAUUAAGCAAGAUCAAUUUGGUUUUACAAUGGUGAACUUUGACCGAUUGAUUCACACAGGACAACAACUGAUAGAUGAGCCGUAUGUAUUCUCAUCUCAAGUCAAACAAGUUUUUUACUCAAAAGAUCCAACUGAUGAGAGUUGGUACGUUGUACUCCGUAACAUCCCAAGAGACUUGUUUGACAUGGGCAGUGGAAGUAGAGAUAACAUCGACGACAGAUCAGAAACUUUGCCCUUUCCAGAACAAAACUUAAACGAUAAUAUCCCUAGUACUAGUGCACAAUUUCAAUGUGUUCGUCAGGAUACCGAUGAAGAUAUUUACGAAUAAUGAUGUAGUAAGAUUUUACGAUUGUUUAAUUAUAAGUUUUUUUUCAUAAUUUAAAUAUUGGUCUUAUUAUAUAUUUCAACUGUUUUAUAUGUGAUGUUAUUGUUGUAAUUAGUUAUUAAGUUGUCAACUAUUUUAUGUGUAUUGUAGAUAAAAUGCCUAGAAGAAAAAUUCUAAGGGGAAGCAUUGUUCAAAAUGAUCCAAACACGAUAGAAACAAAUAGUACUGAACAACAGACAGCAAUUGGAUCUUCGAAUGUUCCGAUUACAGCUGAUGAUCCUACAGAAGUUCAAAGUAAUUUUACAUUUAAUUUACAUGCGUGUUGACUUAUAGUUGCUUUUUUUCAAAUUCUUAUAUUAUAAUAUACCAUUUGUAGCUGAAAAUGGUGGGACGCGCAGAGGUCGAGGACGUACGCUACUUAGAGAGUUAUACGAGUUAGAUCCAGUCGAGCGUGUCAAAGUUGGACGAAACAGUUUUGGUCAGCCUGUUAGAUCAGAAGCUCGACUUUUAGCAGGAUACAUGGGCAUUUUAGCACGAAAUCCGAAUAUGUUACCUAUCAACUACGACUCAUGGCAUCAAAUGCCCGGUAGCAAAAAAAACCAAGCCGUCGAUAAUAUUAAGGUAACAAAAUGUUAAUGUCAUCUGUAAUGCUUGGGAAAUAGUUUCAUUUAUAUUUACUUUAUUAACUUGUGUUUUUUGUUUUUUGUAGACGAGGUUUGCUUUAGAGGUCUCGGAUGCUUAUGUAAAGAAGGCAUUGGGAAAAAGAUGGAGAGACAAUAAAAGUACUUUGAAGAGAAAUUAUUAUAAGACAAAAACAACCCUCGAUGAGAAAUUGCAAAAUGUCCCGCCGGGUAUGUUGAGGUACCAAUGGGAAGAUACGGUUAGAUUUUGGCAUUCGAAGAAAGGCGAGGUAUGACGUACUUCCAAACUAUUGUAAUUAUUUUGGUAAAUAGUAUUUUCUAUUUACGUACUAAAAAGUUCAUAACGUAGGAUCGUGAACAAGUUGGAAAAAGUAGCAGGCAGAAACAAAAAUUCACCCACACAGCCGGGUCGAGAAGUUUUACAUGUGUAGCUGAGGCGGAGGUAUUUUUAAUUUUUUAAUAUUGUCGAAUAUGUAUAACUUUCUAUUAAAUAAUAUUUUUACUACUAUAUUGUAAGAACUGUCGUUCGGUCAAAAAGUUGGACGCCUUCAACUUUUUGAAAUUACACAUAGGAAGAAAGAUGGAUCUCCCAUGACUCCUGAAGCUGGUGAAAUAAUGAUACGUUUACUUAAUACGAUUUGACUUGUUUUAGUUAUUUAUAGUGUUUAUUUUCUAAUGGUUUAAUUCAUUGCUUGUAAUGCGACUAUUGUUAUGUUGCAUAUGUUUUUUAAUAUAUAAUAUUGCGUUCCUAACUAUGUGAUUUAUUUAUUAGGAAAAACUAAAGGAUAAAAAGGUUGAGUACGAAGCGAUUGCUUCUAGUGAUAGUUCUGUUCAUCUUGAAAACAUUGAUAAUCGGAUUAUUACUGAAGUUUUGGGUCCUAAAAGGUAUGGUCAGGUUCGAUUUCAAGGAUCUUUUGUUAGCCCAACCCAAUAUUUUGGAUCCAGCUCCCACCAAUACAUGGCUUUAGGGAGUCAGGCUCAAGCUGAAGUUCAGAGGUUAAAAGACCAGAUCGCUCAGAUGCAAGCGACCACAGUUGAGGUUCAAAGGAAAUAUGAAGAACUCCAGCUACAACUUAAAGCAGAGGCGGCAGCGAGGGAAGCAGCGGCUGCAGCGAGGGAAGCAGAGGCUGCAGCGAGAGAAGCAGAGCAGACCAAAAAGUACGACGAACUCCAGCAACAGCUUCAGAUUAUGAUGAAGAUGUUUCAGUCGCAACUUCCGCCUUCAUAGUGUAUGGCAUAAAUAUUUUUAUCAUUUUAACAUUUAACAUUUUUGCAAAAUAAUAUGAAUUCACUUUUAUUUAUUGAUAUUAAUAUUAUUUUAUUCGUUUAAUUUGAAAUAUUAUAUAAAUUUAUUGCUUUUGGCUGUUUUAGAUCUGGUUGCUUUUGAUUUGUUGUUACAGGAGGGCUGAAAAAAUGAAAAAUUUAAUAAAAAAAUCCCAAAAAUAGUGGCGUUUUUGUAUAAAAACGCCGCUAAAGAACAUGGUCUUUAGUGGCGUUUUUACCAAAGCGCCCCUAAAGAACAUGGUCUUUAGUGGCGUUUUUUACUAAGCGCCGCUAAAGAACAUGGUCUUUAGCGGCGUUUUUUUGUAAACGCUGCAAAUGUUUGCGAUGUUUUCCUUAGUGGCAUUUUUUGCGGCGCUUGUGGAAGCGCCGCAAAUACCUUUAGUGGCGUUAAAAAGCGCCGCUAAAGGCCUAAAAAAAUGCCGCUAAAGACUUGUUUUGGUGUAGUGGUGUUAAAACGCAUUAUCCUCUUAUUUAUGAAUUAGGAAGUAGUUAUUGGUAGUUCUAGACAUUGCGUAGAAAAUAAUAGAUAUGAUGAGAAUCUAUAUUGAAACUUUUCGAAAAAAUAUAUUUAUUACACAUGAACUAAAAGAAAUUUCUUUAUGGGUAGUUCAAGAAUAUUGUUGAAGCUAUAAAAUAAAAAUUCAAUUGGAUAAUAGAAAUCUCUUUUGUUUAACAAAAUAUUAAUCAUUGAUUGAGUUAAUAUUAUGAGUCAAUCGGACACCAAUUUAAUUAAGAAAUUACGAAAAUAUCAUUCCAUAAUUAAAAUAAAUUAUAUUAUUUGAGGAUAUUUUAAUAUUUUUAUGUCAAAAAAAUCAAUAAAAAUAUAUAUUUAUUUUUCACAAAUAUAUUAUUCUAUCAAUUUUCAUCAACCAAAAAAAAAGUAAUUAAAGUAAAAUUUACCUUUGAUAUACCAGAUGAUUUCAAAGAGAAUGAUUAUAUCAAUGAGUUUAACAAUUAAAAAAUAUAUUUUUUUCAAAGAUUUUAUAAUAUAAAAAAUUUUAAAAAUUUUAUAUAAAAAUUAAAUAAAUAUUUUAAAUGAUAUUUGGACCAAUUUUAAUAAUUAGUUUAUAAUUUAGAGUUGUAGAUAAUAUGGCUGAUAUAUAUAAUGUCUUGGUCAAGUCAUGGUUUUAUAUAUGUUUAUUUGUGAGCCCUACACUCGCAUCAAAUUUAGAUAUCACAAACAUGAUUUAAAACAUUACUAGCUGUGAGCAAUUUAAAGAAAUUUAAUUUCUUUUUUACAAUUUUAAGUUAAUCAAUUAUUUGAUUUUUUUAGGGGCGAAUUCAGAAAAGUUUUUUAGAGGCCGAAAUGAAUUUUUAAUUUUUAAUAGUCUAUAUCUUUAUAUUUUUAAAGGAUUAAAUUAAAAUUUUAUAAUUUUAAGGGGGGCAAAAUGUAAUUUUAUCUCUACUAAUUUAAAACUUUAAGAUUUUUUAAAGGACCUAAAUAAUAAUUUUUCAUUUUAAGGGGGCCGGGGCCCCUACCAACCCUUUAGAUUUGCCUCUGAUAUAUAUAUAUUAUUUAUGUUUUGUAACUCAAAAUUUAGUCAUAUUAUCAAUAAUAUUUUAAUAUGAAAAAUUUACUUUUUAAAAAAAACUUAUUUAACUUGUCUCAAUUAAAUUAAAAAAAUUAAAAUCAAAUUAGAAUAAUAAAAUAAUACCUAUUUACGCGAUUGAAUCUAAUACUCACCUCUCAAUAUUACACCUUUUGAAUCUUCCUAGAUCAUAAAAGGAGAAGUUAUCCUUGGCGUGUGUGUUUUAGUGCUCCUUAUUUCCUUUAAAAACAAAGUUUAUUUAUUCCUUUUUUAUAGAAAUGAAUUGAUAUUUAAACUGCAAAAGAAGAACCACUAUUUGAACAUGUAUAAAUUAAUAUUGUACGCAAAUAUAAACUUUAAUACCAAUUAGAGAAGUAAAAUAAGAUAUUGGUGAAUCAAAUUUAUUAAAUAAUUUAUAUACAGAAUGGAUGAUAUAAUAUUUCUGAAGUCUUCCCUUGGUUGACCAUAAAAGGAGAAGUCAUUGUUUUGUUUUUUGGUAUUUAUUUGUGACCCCUACACACACAUCAAAAUCACAUAUCAUAAACAUUGAUUUAGAAUUAAACUAUAUAAUAUUAGACCUUUUGUAAUCUUCCUAUUGUUGACCAUAAAAGGAGAAGUCAUCCUCUUCUGUCUUUUCUCCCCUUUAACUCUGUGGCUAAUUAUGUCAAAACAAGGUUUUUUUUUCCCUUCUUUGGUAGGAAUUAAAUUAAUAAAGAUUAUUGUAAUUUAAAAUCCAAUUAAAGUUACUAUUUGAACUGGUAUGAAUUAAUAUUGUUAUGUCUAACAUUUAUAUCCAAUAAUUUUUACUAUAGAGAAAAGAAGUAAGAAAAUAAUAUAUGAUGUAAAAUUGUUAAUUUGAGUCUUAACACAGUCGGUAUUUGUAUGUUGUUUAUGUAAUUUUUCUUUCUAGUUAAAGGUUGGAGAGGAGUUAGGGUGAAGCUAGAAAUUUCUUUUUUGGGAGACGAAAUUAAGCUGUAUAUUUUUACGAGAGUUAAAAUACAAUUUUACCAUUUCAAUAGCUUAUAUCUUUACAAUUUUUAAUGGACUAAAGCAAUAUUUUAUCAUUUUUAGGGCUAAAGUACAAUUUUACUAUUUAUUAACUUAAAAUUUUAUAAACUUAAUUUAAAGGGUUAAAUUUUAAAUUUCACAUUUUAAGGGAAGGGAUAAAAACCCUGCUAGGCUCCCCUCUUGCCGCCCCUGAGAGGAUAUAAAGUAAAGCCAUAAGGGUCUAAAAUAUAUGAAUUAUGAGUACUUAUUACACUUGACCAAUUGCUUUUCUUCAAACAAAACAAAAACUAAUGCACAUGAAAAUGCAAAUUCACAUGCAACCUAGAUAUGCAUUCUAUAUACAAUGCAAUGCAAUAAAUAAAUAAACAAAUAUUAUUUAACUAUGGAGUUGCCUCUCCGUAAGCACCUUUGUUUAACAUUUUUGGCUAGAUGUUUUUAAAUGUUAUUUCACCACAGAAUGAUUCGGAUAACAUCUUGACUUAAUAAAAUUGAACAUUAGGAACAACUUAAAAGUCGAGGGAACUUGAGAGUUUUGAUCCCCUUUUGGUUCUUUAACCAACCAUUCUCACCCCUAAUUAUAAUUCCAAUACAGUAAAAGUACGUGAUUGAGUUGAAUGGAUGGUGGUUGUUUGACAUAACAUGUAGAAAGUGAAAAAAUAGUUAAAAAUAAAUCAAGUAUUAAAACUAAAAGUUUAUGAAAGAAAUAAUUUUUUUUCGUUUCCAGGCUUUUACAAAAUCGUGUAGAUUAUUCAUUUUCUUUCUUUUGCUUUUCUUUUCUGACGAAUAAAAUUUAACAAAUGAUAAAAUUGAUCUAAUGUUAUAUAUUUGGUUUAAAAUUUAUGUAACAUAUUAGUAUUUUAAUUAUUUUUCAAAUGUUAUAUAUUUGUUUUAUAAUGGAAACUAAAGUUCGCAUUUAUUUUUUUUUAGGUUUUUUAGGGUGAGUUUAGAUAGGCGGUGCAUUUAUCUACGGUUAGUAUAAAAAUAAAAAUAACGGUAAUAUUAUAUAUUAUAGAGAUAUUAUGGUGUGAGACAAAAAAUAAAUUAAAUACACCGCACCCUACUAUCUAUCCAAACUUAAUUUUAUUAUUUAAAAAUAUAAAUAUUUAAGAUAAAUAGAUAAGUGGGAAAUAUUGAAUGGAAUAAAGUAAUUGAAGCAAUCAAUUGCUAUAUCAUUUCACACACUUUCCCAAAGCCACAUAAGGGGAGAGAAGGGGCCACGCAGCCCUCCUAAAUAGUUGAAAAUAAAUCAAGUAUUAAAACUAAAAGUUUAUGAAAGAAAUUCUAGUAUUAUCAAUUUUUCGUGAGGCUCAAAGCUAUUUGGAACAAAAAUAAAAUCAAUAUGUAUAGGCUUAACAAAAUAGCUAUUAUCUUGCAUUGUUAUUUCAUCCUAACCUCUUCCCUCAUAACUUCAUCUUCUAUUUUCUGUUCGACUUUAUCAAAAGUCUCAAGAAUUUCCUCCCCGUCCUUUUUAACUUCAACGAAACUUUCUAGGGAAGGAAGCUCUAUCGUGAAUGACUUCGGUUCUAGUCAAAGUAAAAUAUAGUUUUUUUAGGUUUUUCGACUAUUUAUGCAUCAAACUUUUAGGACAUUUUGGACAUCUUCCUAAUGUUUUUGGGCUUUAAUCUGUGAAAUAAAUUUAGAUAAAUCUUUCAAGUCACAUCAACAUUUUAUUAAUGAUUUAAUAAAUUAUUAAUAAAAAGAUUUAGGAUUAAUGUACAAAUUUGUCACUAUACUUCAAUUUGAUUGAUAUUUGAUAUUGAAUUUUAUUGCUUUACUUUAAUUUAAUUGAAUUUUGCCACUAAGAUUUUUUUAUUGAAUUUUCUAUUCAAUUUAAUUUUAAAAUAACUUGAAGGCUAAAUUGAAUAAAAAUAGUUUUAUAUUUCGCUUUUAUAUUUAAUAAUUAUCCUCUCAUCCAUGGCAAGGUGCGGAAAUUUGCAGAAUAUAGAAAUGGAGUGAAGAAAAACCGCUUUAGCAGAGGAUAUGAUUAUGUUAAGGAUAUACUGAAGUGUUUGAUUAUUUUUUCCAGAUGAAGUGUUUGACAUUUUAUAUCACUUAAUUAUUUUGGAUUUAUAUGUGAUGUCAGCCUCUACACGUAUACACGUGAAUGUCACCUAUUAGAAAGAAAUAGUAAUUAAAUUCAUAUUUAAUAUAUAUUUUUGAUCUAAUUUUUUUUAAUUCAAUUUAAUUUUAGUUAAAACGUUUAAAAACAUUUAUUUAAUCUAAUUUCUUUAAUAUAUUAAAUAAAUUGGAUUAGAAAAUAUAUUAAAUAUGAAUGAAUACUAUAUCUCUAAAAAUUAAUAUAUUAUUAUUUUAUUGGUGCUUAAAAAAAUUAAAAUAUUUAGAAUCAUUUUAAUAUAAGUUAUUCCCUUGAUAAUAAUAUUUGGUAUUUACACGAGUAAGUUCAAUAGUUGACAAAUAUUUUAUAUAAGUAUAAUAAAAUAUUUAAAAAAAUUAUUUAGUGACUUAAUUUUUUAAGAAUAUUUGAUAAUUCAUAAAGAAAAUAAAUAAUAUUUUAAAAAAAGAGUGAAAAAUGAUAAGUAGAUAAUAUCUAUUAUCACUUACAACAUGUUUGGAUUAAAAAGAAGAAAAAGGGAGGGAAAAUUAAGUAAAUUGAGGGAAAGAAAAUUCGGUUUCUUUGUUUAAGUUAAGUAAAGUUGUUAAUUUUUUAUUAGAUUUUAUAUUUUAGAUUAUUAUCUCUUCUUCUUCUUUUUUUAGCUUGUAACAGCCUUAUUUUUAUUUUCUAUUUGUUUAGGUUACUAGAAAUAUUUAAUUUUAAAUUUGUUUGAUAUAUAUUUUUAAAAAUUUUAACAAUAUUUUUUAUUAACUAUUUUGUUAAAUUAUUAGGAAUCCUUCAUUUGUAAUUUGGUUAAGAUAUUUUUUUUUUUAGUUUGAUAAAAUAAGCUUAUUAAAAAAAAAGAGAAUAUACCAAUAUAUUAUUGGUUAACAUUUUAAUUAUUAUUUUAUAUAGAAUAUUGAUAUUUUUCUAUAAUUUUAAUUUGCUGUGAUUUAAUUUUGUUAUUAUAUAUUAUUUAUGAACUGUUAAAAUUAAAAAAAAUAAAAGUAAAAUAAUUCAUUUUCUUUCCUUUUCAUAGUUUAGCAAAACAAGUCCACAAGCUCGCCUCAUUUGAAAAAAAAAUUAAAUUGUUUAAAUAUAUUUAUCUAUAUAUAUAUAGGGACUAGUUUUAACAAAUGAAAAACAUAAAAACUACAUUAGAAGAAAUGGGGAAGGGAAGAAAACAAAAGGAGAAGCAGAAGAGAAUGAAAUAUAAAGGAAAGUUAAAAGAACAUAAAAAAAUUAAAUUAAAUUGCUCAAAACGAAAAAAAUAUGGGGAUUAGUUGCAUAAAUCAUCCUAAAAUUUUUGUUUGAAAGAUGAUUUAACAUGUCACAUCAGCUUAUUGUUACACGGUUAACAAAAAUUAAUAGCUCAGUGACUAAAAUGUUAUAACGUGAUAACGUAAGUGACUAAAAUGUAACAUUUCAAACAUAAAUAACUAAAAUGUAAGCAAAAGUGGCUAUUUUAAUAGUUUACCCUAACAUUUAUCCAAACAUAAGCUUAAUGUAAACAUUUUUUCAAUUCUUUUUAUUUUAUUUUAUUUUUUACCAUUAUCCUUUAUCCUUAUUUUAGAAAAAAGUAGAAUUAUUUUUCAAAAUUAAUUUUAAGCAAUACAUCAAAUAGAUUUUAUAACUUAAAUGUAAUAUUUAAUUUUAUAAUAUUUUUUUAUCAAACAACAUUUACUCCUAAGUAAAUAAAUAAAUAAAGGCCUUGUGUAAUUAAGAAAGUUGAGAAAGGGCUAAUCCUCACAUGGUAAAAAUUGGCUACAAUAAUGAAGGAAAGAGAAAAACACUUAGGAAUGUGAAUGAGCAUACCCCACACACAUACUAUUUACUGUCAACGGUGAUGGAUGAAUUGUCUACUAUACAUGGAUUUUUUUUUUUUUUUGGUUCUUGUCCUGUAUUAUUUGGGUUUGUGAUCCCAUGUAAAAUUCCAGUCACUAUUUCAUAGCAUUUAAAAAAAAUUAUUUAUUAUCAAUUGAGUAUUAGCUUGAUUGGUAUAAGUAUUAUUGUCAAUGUAUGAGAACAUAGGUUCGAGUGUAUUAAAGCUUAUUAUCUUUUUAUUUAUGGAUUAGAAAGUGAUUAUUGGUAGUUCUAAACAUUGUGUUGAAAAGAAUAGACAUAAUCAGAAUUUAUGUUGAAAUUUUUCAAAAACAAUUAUUUAUUACACAUUAAUUAAAAGAAAUCUCUUUAUGGGCAGUUCAAGAUUGUGAAGUUAUAAAAUAAAAAAUUCGAUACGAAAACAAAAAUCUCUUUUGUUUAACAAAAUAUUAAUCAUUGAUUGAGUUAAUAUUAUGAGUCAAUCAAACAUCAAUUUAAUCAAGAAAUUACGAAAAUAUUAUUUUAUAAUUAAAAUAAAUUAUAUUAUUUGAGGAUAUUUUAAUAUUUUAUGUCAAAAAAAUCAAUAAAAAUAUGAAUAUGAUGGGAUUUGAAAUAAAAUCUUGAAUUUACCACUCAACCAAAACUUUAUUUUAUCAUAUUUUAUACAUUUUUAUUUUAAUACGCACAAUUUAUUAACUUCAUCAGUUGUAUAUAUAUUAAUAAAUUUAUUGAUUGAGUUAAUAUCACAAGUCAACUCGACACUAACUGACAAUUGACGACAACACUUUGAUAGACAGUUGUAUUGCGUUUAAUUAGUAUUUUUAAUUUGAUGUAUUUAUAUGUUUAAAUUUUAUUUUUGCUCCCAAAUUAAUUUAAUUUUUUAUUUUAAUGCCAUACAUAUUUUAUAUAUUCUUAUAAUUAAUUAUCUUGAAACCAUAUGUUUCAUUAUUUACUUCUUUCUUUUAAGCAUGCAUCUGUGUUUCAAAUCUAAACAUGGUUGAUUAUGUUAAUUAAUGUUACAAAUUGAGAAAUUUAUUAAAAGUAUUGAAAUCUUCACAUCUAACCUACUUUUAUCAUGUUUGGAAGAUGCUAUUGAUCUUCUUCAAGUGGUUUUUCACAAAUAUAUUAUUCUAUCAAUUUUCAUCAACCAAAAAAAAAAGUAAUUGAAGUAAAAUUUACCUUUGAUAUACCAGAUGAUUUCAAAGAGAAUGAUUAUAUCAAUGAGUUUAACAAUUAAAAAAUAUAUUUUUUCAAAGAUUUUAUAAUAUCAAAUAUUUUAAAAAUUUUAUAUAAACUUAAAUAAAUAUUUUAAAUGAUACAAUUCGACCAAUUUUAGUAAUUAGUUUAUAAUUUAGAGUUGUAGAUAAUAUGGCUGAUAUAUAUAAUGUCUUGGUCAAGUCAUGGUUUUAUAUAUGUUUAUUUGUGAGCCCUACACUCGCAUCAAAUUUAGAUAUCACAAACAUGAUUUAAAACAUUACUAGCUGUGAGCAAUUUAAAGAAAUUUAAUUUCUUUUUUACAAUUUUAAGUUAAUCAAUUAUUUGAUUUUUUUUAGGGGGCCGAAAUGAAUUUUUAAUUUUUAAUGGUCUAUAUCUUUAUAUUUUUUAAAGGAUUAAAUUAAAAUUUUUAUAAUUUUAGGGGGGUCAAAGUGUAAUUUUACCUCUACUAAUUUAAAACUUUAAAAUUUUUUAAAAGACCUAAAUAGUAAUUUUUCAUUUUAAGGGGGCCGGAGCCUUACCAACCCUUUAGAUUUGCCUCUGAUAUAUAUAUUAUGUAUGUUCUUUAAAUCAAAAUUCAGUCAUAUUAUCAAUAAUAUUUUAAUAUGGAAAAUUUACUUUUUAAAAAAUUUAUCUUGAACAAACUUAUUUAGCUUAACUCAAUUAAAUUAAAAAAAUUUAAAUCAAAUUAAAAUAAUAAAAUAAUACUCAUUUACUCGAUUCGAUCUAGUACUCACCUCUCAAUAUUACACCUUUUGAAUCUUCCAUGACAGAAGUUAUCCUUAGUGCUCCUUAUUUCCUUUAAAAACAAAGUUUAUUUUUUCCUUUUUUAUAGAAAUGAAUUGAGAUUUAAACUGCAAAAGAAGAACCACUAUUUGAACAUGUAUAAAUAAUUUAUAGUUGAUAGUUAUAUACAGAAUGGAUGAUAUAAUAUUUCUGAAGUUUUCCCUUGGGAGAAGUCAUUGUUUUAUGUUUUUUGGUAUUUAUUUGUGACUCCUACAAAUUAUAUAUAAGAAAUUCUAGUAUUAUCAAUUUUUUGGAGGCUCAAAGCUAUUUGGAUCAAAAAUAAAAUCAAUGUGUAUAGGCUUAACAAAAUAGCUAUCAUCUCAUCCUAACCUCUUCCCUCAUAACUCCAUCUUCUAUUUUCUGUUAGACUUUGAGAGUUCAAUUACGAAAAGGGAAGUGUUUUUUUCGGCUCUUAAUGUAAUUGAUAGUAGGCUAGGAAAUAAAGAUUAUUCGUUUGUUUGUUUAAGCCUGAUUUUGACUUGUUUACUAUAAUUAAAUUAUCACUUCAAUAUAUUUUUAUCAGUUUGAUUUAUGUACUUUCAUUCUAUGUACUUCGUUAUCUUAUUUAUAUUUUUUAGAAAAAAAAUUUUCUAUCUAAUUAAAUGCUGUCACCUAUGAAAAAAUUUAAAAUUCCACUGAAGUAUAUAAAAAUUCAUAAAAAUCGUAAAAAAAGCAUAGAACUCUAAAGAAAUUAAUAAAAUUUUAUAAGCACAAAUUUCCAAAAUUAAAAUUAAAAUAUUUUAUUAAAAUUUUUAAAUUUUUUAAAGUUUCAUAUAUUUAUUGUUUAAAAAUUAUAUCAUUUUCAAAAAAAGAUUAUGAAUUUUUUUAGGUAUUUUAAAAAUAUUUUUCUAAGUCUUAAGAUUUUAUUUUUUGCAUUUUAUGAUUUCUUUUUUGGAUUUUUAAUGGUUUUUAAAAUUUUAUAAUAUUUUCUAAAAUGUUUUAACUAUUUUGGUCGUCCAGGUUUUGUGAAUGAAGCGAAGGGUAUCUUUAUUGUGGUGAACUUUUAAUUUACUCAAAACGAAGUGAUUUAUUACGUUGUGUGAUUUGCAGAUAAGUGUUAAAUAUGAAAUGUGUAAGGCCCAAUAUUUGCCCGGCCCGUAAUAAAUAAACCAAAUCAAAAUUUAAAAAGUCCAAAGUCCAAAAUUACAAAAAUCUAUCAGACCCAAAAUAUAAAUCGAGCCCAUUUAUAAAUGGCCCAGUACAAACCCAAAUUACAGCUAGCCCAAUAGCCAAAAUCAGCCCAGAUUUUUUCAUUUUGCAGAAACCCUAAACAGUUUCAGAGGUACCAGGCGCCGCAGCCAAGCCCUCGCACAUGCCCCACGAACCACGCUUCCAGCGCCUCUCCCCACAUACACCUAGCCACGUCCCUGACACCGUACGGCCGUACCUGCAGCAAACGCAAACGAAAAACGCAGCAGAGAAAGAAAUUGUAUUUUUCAUUUUUAUUAUUUUAAAACGAAGGGAUAUAAAACAGGAGAAACCUUUUGUAUUUGAGGGGGGAUUGAUACGCAAUAUCAACACACGCAUAUUGUAUCAGAAAAACGAAAUCAAUACAGAAGAAAGGUUUUCUUUUUCUCUUUUCUCGAUUGGGUUCCUUUUUCUUUGGCUUUUCUUUUUUCUGUUUUGCUGUUAGCCCUAUACAUAAGCAUAUACAUAUAAUAAAAGGGAAAGGAAGUACUUACCUCGGUGACCCUGUCGUCGUUCUCAUCGGUUUCGUGGAUACCAAAGAGGCUAGGUAUGGUUUUAGCCUGAGAACGGCGCAAGGGGAGAGGGGAAAGGCAAAGUUUUUUUUCUGCUAUUUUUUUAGUGGCCGAAUAACCUUGUUUAGGGUUUUAAAAUUGGUUUUUUUUGGGUGUUGAAACGGUGUCGUUUGGGGCCUGAAUCAGUGGCCACCAAAACGACGUCGUAUUUGUAUACCCGCACGUCCAACCCGACCCGGACCAGCUAGAUUCGCGCGUUUUGGCCUCUGGUGGUAUAUUUUCGCACUUAGUCCCUUGCCUUUAAAGCGCAUCCAAAUCAAUCUUUUUAUUUUUUUAGAUUUUGCCUGAUAUGUCACUGUUGUUUCAUUUUGGUCCCUUCUGCCAAUAUGCGUUUUGAAGGGCAGGGAAUAUUUCCCAUUUAAUCCCUCAUGUAAUGCGCAGGCUUCAUUUUGCCUUUUAAUUUCCUUUUAAUUUAUUUUCUUUUUUCGAUUAAGCAUUAAAUCCAUUUUAAUCUCUAUUUUAGUUUGUUCAUAUUAAUUAAUUUAAAUAUUUUGGUUCUGUUUUCUUUAAUAUAUUUCAGUUUAAUCUAAUGUUAUUUUAAUAAUUCAACUUAUUAGUAUAAAUUCAUUAUUGGUAUUAUUUAAAUCUAUUGAACCAUUAUUCUAAAAGUUUUCUUUCGUGUGUUAUUUUAAGUUUUCAUAUAUUAUUAUUAAAAUUUAAUACUUAUUAUUUUUAUGAUAACUAAAUAUAAUUUGUACAAUUCUAUAGUUUUAUAAUAUUUAUUUUUAAAUUUAUUGGGAUACUAUUAUUUUAUGAAGUAUUUGUUUUUAACUAUAUUUUUCAUUUAUUUCAAACUUUCAUGUGUAUAUAUAUUAUUUUAAACUUAUUUUAAUAUAUAAUUUCCCUUCUUUUAUGUUACUUUUUUUGUUUUUGUUAUUUAAAAAAAAACUUGUUACAUUUUAUUUAAUUCGCUUGUUACCCUUUUUUAAUAUUAACUUUUUAAUUCAUUUUGCUUGCUAAUAUGGAUGUUAGUAUUUGCAUAAUGUAGGAUAUAAAAUUGUUGCUCUUUUGUAUAUGAUAUUGUUUAUUCAUAUAUUAAAUUUUUGUUAUUCAUUAGUGUAUGCUUUAGUUUACGAAUAAUCAAUUCGCAUAGUACAUUAUUAUACGAUCGUUUUUAUUUAUUCAAAAGAUUACAAAUUACAAAGUUAUUCUAUUCAAAAACUUUCAAAAAUACUCGAAGUUUGAAAUCCUCGAGAGAAUUGAGCCCUAACGUAUUGGGUUCCAAUUUUUUUCGUCGAGUCUAAAUAAUUGAACAUUUUUUAACAUACAAAUUUCAAAUAACCCAUUCUCGGGAAUUCAACACGUUGUGUCCUAACGUAUUGGAUAUGACAUGUUAUUUUCUCGAGACGAGGAUUUUAAAAAAAUAAUAAAUAAAGGCAAUGUUCGGUAUUUGGAAAUUUGGUGAAAUCGAACCCUAACUUACUGGGUUUUGAUCUUCUCUUUUGGCCCAAAUAAUUAGAUAUCCUUCUCAAAAUGCAUAGUUUUAAAAAUCAAAUUUAACUUCAAAAUAAAAGGAUUGUAUUUUAAAUUUUUUUUCAAAAUCUCGACAUUAAGACAUUGAACAAUCAAUUUGGUACCAAUUUUGGGCGUAUCGAGGGUGCUAAUCCUUCCUCGUGCGUAACCGACUCCCGAACCUAUUUUUUUGAAUUUCGUAGACCAAAACCGUUGUUUUAAUAAAAUCAAAUCGUUUAUUAAAAACAACCACUUUUUAAGGUGAUCCGAUCACACCUUAUCAAAAAAAGAUUGGUGGCGACUCCCUUUUUCCGUUUCCGUUUUCAAAAUCCAAGUCGACCCCGUUUUCAACAAAGAAAUGGUGUCUACAAAAUGAAUUGUUGAAUUUGAAAACAAUGGUUUAAUAUUGCAGGGAUUUCCAGCAUUAUCAUAAAUUUUAGUGAAUUUAGAGACGAAAUCAGAGUUCCACUGAGUUUUGUUCAAAUCUGGGGAUUUCAUCGUCAUAUAGGGUCGAUUUGGAUAUCUAGGAUACAAAGCUUCAUAUCAUUGAUGUUCGGUGGCCAUGGGUAUAUGUUGAUUUUGAGUUUAUCGUUGCCCCAUAAGUUGGUUGCACUAAAAAAAAAGGGUAUUACCAAUGCUAAAAAUUGUUACUAAAAUUUUAUUGUAGCAAUAAAAGUUGUUGCGGGAUUGUUGUGUAUAUUUUCGUUGUUUAAAGUAUACGCAACUCUACUCAAUUAUGUAAUAUCUACUCUUAAAUAUGGUCUAUUUAACUACAUAUUUAAGCACAUCAAACACAAAUUAAUAAUUUAGAAAUAUCAAACCAAGAAUUAAUCACACAUAAUUGGGAACAAUAAACUAAGUAUUUAUUGCAUAAAAUAAAAAAAAUGAUAGAAUCCAUCAUAGGGUUCAUUUCCCUAGGUAUUUAGAAAAUUAGUUCAAGCUUGAAAAUAAAAACAUCCAAGAUAUAGUAUAACCGAAAGAAAUAAAAAAAUUCAUGAUAAUCUCCUAGGAAAUCAACUGAGAAUCUUCAAUCUUGACGUAAAUUUGUUUUCAAGAUGGCUUCAAUGGCAUUUUUCGAGUUGCUUUCUUGAAUAUUUUAUGACGGCUCUCUCAUAUACUUUCUUAAUUUUUCACAUAUACGUUUCAUAAUGCCCCAAAAAUCUAAAAAUCUUGAUUUUACAUUGUUUGUGUGGCAAUUCCAUGAAAUUGACAUAGCCUACCACACACUCGUGUGGGUCACAUGACUAUGUGGUUUGCUCAUGUGAAAUUUAGAAAAUGUAAAAGAUUCCCUAUGCACCAUCUAUUAUGAGUCUACUAUAUGCUCAAAUAUGUAUGCAUCCGUAUAUUGCAUAUAUUGUUGGGAUGUUAGGCAAACAUUUAAGCAACUCUAGUAUAGGCCAUUAGAUAACAACCAAGAGGGUUAUGAGGUAUCUUUAGAAAACAAAAUAUUACAUGCUCACAUAUUGGAUGUUUGAUAAGUUAGAGAACAUCAAGUAUACAAACUCCAAUUUUGAUGAAAUAUUGAUGCAAAAUUUUGUCACUAGAGUGCAAAUUGUAACAAUAGUUAGUAGUCUUUUAUUCCAAUUGUACAAGCCCAAAUUUGCCCGAGGCCCAAAAACCCAAUACACCCAAACCUCAGCCUAAUUACAAAUUUAACUCAGCAGACCCAACCCAACACCGAUGACCAAACCUCAAUCCAAUAGCACCUAGCCCAACAAGAUUAAACCCAAACCCGAGGCCCAAUAUCCAACCCAAAAAAAAUGAAGGCCCAGUAGCCCAAAAUGUUUGAGACUUUUUCAGAAAAAAUGAAACCCUAGCCUACUGCCUAACCCUAGCCGCCUCUGCCUCCUCUGACAUCUUCUAGUCUGGCUGCCGCUCGUAGCCUCUGCCACCGCCACCUCUGACGCCGAGCCGCCCAUCAAUCACCUACUCCAUCAACGUCAACACCUGCAAACAAGAGAAAAAGCAAUAGCAAAUAAUAGCAAAAAUAUUGUAAAAAAAUGGCUAUAAAGCCAUAACCACCACUGUAAACGGGGUUCUUCCCCCCCCGAUUUUUGUAUAAAAAAAUAUUAGCAGGGAAAUAAAGGAAAAAAGAUUGAAGGUGAUUUUUUCUUUUCUUUUCUUUUCGGUUUUGUAGACCUGUUUUUCUGUUCUCUUUUCUUUUUUCGUUUACACGUAUGUAAAUAAAGGUAGUAAAUAAAAGGAUAGAAUGAAGACUUACCCAUUUCGCCUUUCGGUUACGCCGCCGUCGGGGUCUGCUCAUAAUUGAAAUCGGCCCGAAAGAUCGAGUUAGGGGGUCCUUUGUCUUAAUUUUUGGGCCAAACGAAUCUAGCCUUCGAUUGGGUCUUAAAACGGGGACUAGAAUGCCCAUUUUGCGCAACGCCGGCCACCGUCCACGGUGGCGCUAUGGCGGUGCUAAGAAGACCCAAAGGCCGAACGUUUGAGAGGGAUGAGGAAAGGUUUUUUUUUGUUUUUUUUUUAAAUUAGUGGCCGAAAUGUUUUUUUUGAAGAAAAUAUGGCUUAAAUACCAUUUUCGAAAUAACAUCGUUUCAAUUUGGCCCUCCAGAUGCCAAAACGGCGUCGUUUUGAAAGGGGCCGGUUCUACUCGACCCGUUUGGCCAGGAUCCGCGUGUUUUAGCCUUGAGGGGUUAUUUAUGCGGGGAGUCCCUCCGCUUUUGCAGCGUAGCCGAUAUGAUCCUUUUUGGUCUUUUUGUUAUUUGGCCCGCGAAUUUUACCUCUAUUUCGAUUUGGUCCUUAGACCAUGUGCUGCCCCUAGUCGAAACGCAGCAUUUUAGGACUGGGAAAUAUUUCCCCACAAGUCCCUCACGCUUUAAGCGCGUUUUACUUCAGUCCUGCACUAUUCCUUUUGUUUGUUUGCAUAUUUAAACCCCGAAGUUCGUUUCAAGUUUUAAUUUAGUCCUUUUGUAUUUUGUUUAUUUUCUUAUUAAGUAAUAAAUUUGAUGUUAUACUGUUAUUAUUAAUUAUAAUAAAUAUUAUUUGCUCAUUUUUACCUUUAGAAUUUCAAAAUUUAUCAUAUAUAUUUGUAUAUACUUAUUUUGAUAUUUUGAUAUUUUAUAAUUUAUAUCUAUAUAUCUAUAUACAUAUUUAUACAUAUAUACACAUACCUAUAUGUUUUAUAUUUUCAUAUAGUUUUUAUAUACAUAUAUAUUCUUAUAUGCACAUGCUUAUGUUUUUUUAUACUUUAUAUAUAUACACCUAAACAUGCAUAUUUUUUUAUAUGUACAUACAUUCAUAUAUUUUAUAAUUUAAGUACAUAUACAUAUAUAUGUACAUAAACUUUAUUAUUAUUAUUUUUUUUGUAAUUUAUAUUGUUAUUAAUUGUUUUAUUUGAUAUUUAUUUAUUUGCUCAUCUUUAUUUUUAUGAAAUGCUUUAGUUCUUUUUACAUUAUUUUUAUGAAAUGCUUUAGUUCUUUUUACUUACUCAUUAUUUCAUGUAUAAUUGUUUUUUUUAUAUAUGUGUCCUUUUUAUUGUUGCUCGUAUUAUUUUACUUACAUUAUCAUAAUUGUCAUUCCAUUACGUCAAUUUUCACCCAAAUUCAAAAAAAGAAAUUUUAAAAAUAUAAAUAAUACUCGGUAUUUGGGAUCUUCGAGAGAAUCGAGCCCUAACGUAUUGGGUUCCGAUUUUCUUCGUUGAAUCUAAAUAAUCGAGACUACUCUUUUUUAUAUAUAAAAAAACAUAAAUAAAAGCUCAUUAUCGGGAAUUCAAUACGUUGUGUCCUAACGCAUUGGAUAUGAUACAUUGUUUUCUCGAGAUGAGGAUUUUUCUAAAAAAAUAAAAAUAAGGCAAUGUUUUGAGUUUGGGAAAUUCAAGAAAACGUGCCCUAAUGUGCUGGGUUUCGAUUUCUCGUUUAGCCAAAUAUUCUCUUAAAUCUUAAUCUAUGUCAUUUAAGUUUUUUUAGGAUCGUAUUUUAAAUCUCUUUAAAAUUUUCAGUUUUUCGACACUAAGAUAUUAAGUGAUCAACUAGGUACCAAUUUUGGGCGUAUUGAGGGUGCUAAUCCUUCCUCGUGCAUAACCGACUCCCGAACCCAUUUUUCUGAAUUUCGUGGACCAAACUUGUUGUUUUAAUAAAAUCAAAUCAUUUAUUAAAACAACCACUUUUUGAGGUGAUCCGAUCACACCUUAUCAAAAAAGAUUGGUGGCGACUCCCACUUUCGUUUUCAUUUUUCAAAACCCAAGUCGACCCCGUUUUAUCAAAAAAAUGGUGCCAACAGCUUGGCGACUCCACUGGGGACCCAAGAACGAGAGUCAAGCCACGAGUUGAUUAUUUUUUUAUUUUUUUGUCGAAAAUCAAAAAAUUAGUUUAAACAUACGAUCCUUUCGUUGCAUUUCAUUCGUCUUUAUUAUGAUCUUCAUCAUUAUAGUUUAUAAUUGUUGUGUUAGUUUAAGUUUUGGUAUCAAUUUGUACAUUGCAUUGCAUAACCGUUGGUCACACCCUUCUUAGUGGGAGUGAGAAACUACGCUUUCGUGAGGUUUUCACCUCUGCAUAGGAUAGUGAAUCGCUUCUGGUAUAUAUCCGUACCUAUGUUUUCGUGAGAUUUUCAUCUCCGCAUGGCCAUAGGGAAAUGUAUUCCCCUGAACUGAACUCAGUCUGCAUGAGCCUAUAAUGGGUCAGGACCGAGGAAUCUGCUGGUUCAAGUACCCCUUACUUUAGAGCCGAACCGCAUGUAAUGAGCCCUAGGAGCCUACCCUAGGUAGAACCACACCAAAUACCUAGAGGUCACCUGAAAACUUGGUUUAAAUUUACGAUCAUUUUGUUGUAUUUCGUCCGUUUUGGUAUGAUUUUCAUUACUUCGAUUUGUAAUUACUCUAUUGGUUUGAAUUCUCGAUAUGUUUCUGCGCAUUGCAUUACAUGACCACUCAGUUACACCCUUUUAAGUUGGAGUGAGAAGCUACUCCUUUGUGAGGUUUUCACCUCCGUGCAGGAUAGUGGAUCACUUUUGGGAUACAUCUGUACCUAUGUCUUCGUGAGAUUUUCAUCUCCGUGCAGCCAUAGGGAAAUGUAUUCCCCUGAACCGAACUCGGUCCGUAUGAGCCUAUAAUGGGUGAAGAUCGAGGAAUCGGCUGGUUUGGGUACCCUUUCUUUAGAACCAAACCACAUGUAGAAGACCUUAGGAGCCCACCCUAGGUAUAACUACUUUGAACCCCUAGUAGUUACCCGAAUAGGUGCUCUUUUUGUUUUUUUUUCUUGUUUACUUUUGCUUUGUACUAACCUGUUUUGUUUUGGUUAUAACUGCAUUGCAUUUUCAUCAUAGAAAAGAGGUGUUGAUUCAAAUUUGAUUGCUAAAUAGAAAAGCUUGUCAUGGAAAACGAAUUUCUUGAUAAAGUAGAAUAUGAUGCGACUGUCUGAUUAUGGACUAAUUAAACACAACAAGAGAAGGUUAGAAGUUUGUGGAGGAAUAUACGACUAUGCUUCACUGCCUGAGGAUUCAAACCGACAAAGAUCAUUCGAGAGUGGUCACGAAACUAAAGAGCAUCGUAAGGGAGCAAUGGGUCGUGGCUCAGAUCAAUCAAAAAAGAAGAUAGUAAAGGUAAAUUUUGGGAAAUUCGCAAGAUUUGAUCCUAACAUCUGGAUAUGAAGAAAAGAUCAAUGUCUUCGCCAGGAAUAUGGGGGCAAAGCAGCAGAUGUAAUCUAUUUUAUGUAAAGAAAUUUAUUCUCUAGAAAAGUUGUUCUAAUGGAAUUGAAUUAGGAAUCAAUGCCUCUCUUUCUUUUUGCAUUCAUUUCACGCAUUUGUAUUAUAUAACAUCACAUGCAUUAAGGACCAUCAAAAGACUCUAAUUGAGUAAAAUGAUUUCAGCUAAUCUAGAGAACCAACACCCUUACGGAAUCCGAGCAAAAACUAAAAGAAUGGACCAAAGAUUGGAGAGAUUAAAACAAAGGCAAAUACAGAUGCAAGAGCAAUUUACCAAAUUUCAACAAGAUAUGAAGGAUCAGAUGCUAGAAGUCCAAAGAAAUCUGAUGAGUCAGUUAACCCAGUUAUUGGAUAGAGGGUUAGAAAAAGGAAAAAACCCAGUGGUCCAUUUUGGAGAUAAUGAUGAAGACCCUGCUCAUUUUCUAGGUUUUACCCCAACAAACAUCCAAGCACAACUAAAUGCAUGUCCACAAAAGGUAAAUGUUAACAUCUGACCACAAUACCAGACCAGUACCUCGACACCGGUGAAUUUCACGACAGGCUCAGGUUACAACCUUAGGGGAAAUCUAACUAGUCCCGUUGUCCUUGAUGAUCUAGCGGGAACAAAACAGGUGAGAGUAGAGCUCUCAAAACCAUUUGGAGAUCGUUACAAACAGAAAGGGCAAGAGUGGAAUCCUCAAAUCAAUACUUCGAGGGCCCCGAGGAAGAGGAAAGAUGACGUGAAUGAUGUGAGUAGGUAUAAUGAGGGUUAUUCAAAGCUGAUUACAACAAGCCAGAAAAGGACGGUUGAUUCUAGCCAUCAGAUCUCCCAGAGCAAGAAUUCGGCACAAAGUAAAACAUUGAGAAGUCCAAAUUUGUACCAAUCUCAAUGUCAUUUCGGGAGCUGUAUCAUAAUUUAUUUAACGCACACAUUGCCUCCCCUUUCUACUUGAAGCCUUUACAACCUCCGUACCCCAAAUGGUACGACACGAAUGCACAAUGUGACUAUCAUGCAGGAAUUACGGGGCAUUCAAUAAAAGAUUGCGUUGCCUUUAAAAAGGUGGUUGAAAGGCUCAUCAGUAUAGGCAUUGUCAAGUUCGAUACAAAAAAAUCUGCUGCCUAAUCAUAUUGAUAAUCGGGGUGAAUGCGAUGAAUGAGGAAAUAUUGGGAAACGUUCAAAUUAACGCUGUGCGAAGAAACAACUGAAGAAGGGACCUUGUUAGAUAUUUACCCGUACAUACUUAGGGGUGUUUUGAGCAAUGAGACUGUGGAAGAGAUCCCUGUAUUUUGUAGAGCUAAUUCGGAGUAAUAUCCAAAACACGCUUAUUGCUUUAAGCCUAGGGGCAAUAAGAAUCCUUUUGUGAGAUAGGCUUAUGUCCAACAUCUUUAUUUCAAUAAAAUGCAUCUUUGUUUCUCACUUCGAGCAAAUUUUUAUUCUUAGAUUCUUUUAUUCUUUGGAUAUACUUUCGUCCCUAUAAUAGGUCUUCAGAUAUCAAUGAUAUGAGCGACACUGCUAUUGACUCAGAACCUCCUUUUGAGCAAGAUAUGUGUCCAGAUUAAACUUCAAAACUUUGGAGAUAACUAAGACUGUAGCUUAUCUCUUAGUUUGUUAAGGACGGGAGAACAAGAUCCUACCUUACAAAGAAUCAAUGGAAGCCAUGGCCUUUCUCUAGAUGGGGCACGGAUGUCAUUAGGCCAAUCUCGUCUAAGGUUUUUGACGGCUAUCUUUAUAGUCAUCGAUUACUUAACUAAGUGGGCAGAAGUUGCUUCAUAUGUCAAUGUCGCAAAGUUAACAGUCUGUAAAUUCUUGAAAAAUCAUAUGUUAGUAUGGAAUGUCAAAAAGGAACAUAUCUGACAAUACACUAAAAGUGAACAACGACACAAUAUCAGAAGUUUGCAGUCUGUUCAAGGUUAACACAUUUUGCCCUAGAAUGUACGGUGCAGUGGGAGCAAAAACAAAACAAAAAAGAGGAAAAAUUACUGCAGGGGCAACACAUUGGCUUAGCGCAGUUUUGCUCAUUGAGGUCAAGAUUCCUUCCCUCCGAGUGUUGGAUCAGAUCCCGAUUGAAGAGAAAUGUUCAAAGUUAUCCGUCUGGGUCAAAUACACCAAAAAUAAAAGAUGCGAGCUCAUCAAAGAAGGUUCACCCUAAAGAGUUCCAUGAAUAGAACCUAACAUCGAAGAAAAUCCUCCCCAUACAAAAGGGACUUUAUAAGAAAGAGGAUCUGGAAAAGUGUUGAUUUCGACCAGAAAGGAUAGCAAGGACUUACCUAAUCCUACGAGUGCGGAUUCAAUCAAAGAAUGUAAAAAAAACAAACAAACAAACGAAAAGAAAAAGAAAAGAAAAGAAGAAUGAAAAAAGAAAAAGGAGAGGCCAAGAUGAAAACCCGCAAAGGGCGCCUUGAGACCAAAGGGGUUUUGAAUUGAAAACCCAGGAAUGGGUAGUUCAAAUUUUGAUCAAAGGUGGGGCAUGCGGUGGCCUUGUCCUCUCUGAAUUAGCAAGAAGGUGAGACGCUACAUCUCAGGCUAUCAACAAAGUCUUUUAGGACUUCUAGACACAUAUCAAGUUCAAAAGAGUCCUCAAGAAGCUUAUACAGAAAAGCUCAUGUUGCGAUAUCUGGGGCACCUGUUUCCAUUUUAUUCAUUUUUAUUUUGGCAAAAUAUGCCAUCUUGAUUAAUUUAUUCUCAUUUCGUAUCUUAGCAAAUUUACUAUCUUGAUUAUUUAUUUCGAGCUUUGUUCUCAAUAAAAUUUCAUCUUGUCCAUUGUGAUAAUCCUUUUCAUCUUAUUCAUUUUGAAUCUUAGCAAAAUUCGCUGUUCUGCUUAAUUUAUUUGUUUAGAGCUCUGCUCUCAAUAAAAUUUCAUCUUUCCCACUAUGAUAAUCUUUUUCAUCUUAUCUUAGCAAAAUUUGUUAUCUUGAUUAAUUUAUUCAUUUUGAGCUUUGUUCUUAAUAAAAUUUCAUCUUAUCCAUAUUGAUAAUCUUUUUCAAGCAUUUUACAUUGAAAUAACGAUUAAUUGACUGAAUAUUCAAGCAAAAGAAGUUUUGCAUAUUACUCUGAAAGUUUCUAAAUAAUACAGGAACCUGAAAUAGGACUAUUGUUUAGAGCAUACCAAUAAAGGGUGAAAUGUCUAAGAAGGAAAAGUCUAAAUUAAGACUAUCCUUUCGAAUUUUGUUGUCCAAGCAUGAAUUGAACAAAACGAAAAAAUGUCGAGAUGGUGACAAAGUUUCAAUGAACAAACGAGCAAUGAUCACCGAGUUAUAAAAAGAGGUUUUUGGAAGAAAAAAUUCCACAAUCGUGCAUAAACAUUUGGUAUGACACCUUGGGAAUGGUGUAGAAGACUAAAGAGAUUCAGAUACUGUAUCCCUGAAUUACAGUGGGAGAGGAUUGAGAAAAGUCAGAUCUUAUACUCAGUGGGAGGAAGAUGGCUCGAAUUUUAUGCCCCAAAAUUACCAUGGACUUAACCUUGAAGAUUACAACGGAUUGAACUCUGAAGAUUACAGUAGGGGGCAAUCUGGCUAAGUAAGAGAUGAGUGUUACCAGUCGAGCAAGAUAGCAUUCUGAUAUGUUGGUAAUAAAACCUUAUUGAAUAACGAGCAAUAACAACCCUAACAUUAAAAAGGGAUCAUUCUCAUGACAUUCUGCAUUCAUGCAAAUAUAAUUCACAUACACACCUAGUUAGGAGCAUUUGAUUCGUUCUGAUCAUAAUAUCCUAAUCAUUAGGCAUAAAUAGAUUCAUAAAAUGGACUUUACAGGUCAUGUUCCCCAGAGAACAUAUUAAUAAAGUUACCCAUACCCCUGAAGUUGCAAUGGGAUGAAUUGAAGUUGUCAUGUCAAGUCUUAUCUCUCAGAAAUUAUAGAGGAGUGGACUAGAGAUAGCAGAUCUUAUCUUCCUGUAUUUGGCAGCGAAGUAGAUCGUAGAUAGCAGAUCUUGUCUUCCUGUAUUUGGCAGCGAAGUAGAUCGUAGAUAGCGGAUCUUGUUUUCCUGUAUUUGGCAGCAGAGUAGAUCAUAGAUAGCAGAUCUUGUCUUCUUAUAUUUGGCAGCGGAGUAGAUCGAAGAUAGCAGAUCUUGCCUUCCUGUAUUUGGCAGCGAAGCGUAGAUAGCAGAUCUUGUCUUUUUGUAUUUAGCAGCGAAGUAGAUCGUAGAUAGCAGAUCUUGUCUUCCUGUAUUUGGUAGAGGAGUAGAUCAUAGAUGGCAGAUCUUGUCUUCCUGUAUUUGGCAGUAGAGUAGAUCGAAGAUAGCAGAUAUUGUCUUCCUAUAUUUGGCAGCGAAGUAGAUUGAAGAUAGCAGAUCUUGUCUUCCUGUAUUUGGCAAUAGAGUAGAUCGUAGAUAGUAGAUCUUGUCUUCCUGUAUUUGGCAGUGGAGUUGGUUAAAAAUUACAGAUUCUAUCACCUUAAGCAGUAGUGGAGCAGAUUAAAAGGAUGGAUCUUAUCUCUUCGAAGUUGUAGUAGAGCAGAUCGCAUCAAACUUUAUUGAAGCUACAAGUCUUAUCUCACUGAGGUUGCAGUAGAAUAGACUGAAGAUAGCAUAUAUUAUCUCUCUGGAGUUACAGUAGAGCAGACCACGAUGAUUUUAUCUCCCUAAAGUUGCAAUGGAGUGUACCAAAAUAAUAAAUCCUAUACCUCUGAAGUUGCAGUAGGUCGGACUAAAUCUACCAUAACAAAUCCUAUCUCCCUGAAGAUGCAGUGGAGCAAAUUGAAGACCGACUACAAGUCUUAUCUCCCUGAAGUUGUAGUGGAGCAGACUGUCGAUAACGGAUCUUAUCAUAUUAAAACCUUAUCUUCUUGAAGUUACGUGAAGCAGGUUGAAGCAACAAGUCUUAUCUCCCUGACGUUGCAGUAGAGUAGAUUAAAACCACGAAUCUCGUCCCCCUGAAGUUGCAAUAGAAUGGAUUGAAGCUACGAGCUGUAUCUCUCUGAAGUGCAGUGGAGUGGAUUGAAGCAACAAGACACAGUGGAUUGGAAUGAGGCUACCUGAAGAAGAGAAGCACUAGAAGAAGUCAAGACUCGGCGAGACCGGGUAAAUUUGGUCUUUCUUGGUCUUUGCUCUAUUCUCGUUAUACGACAACGAGGAAAGAGGGGCAGCUGUACAAGCCCAAAUUUGCCCGGGGCCCAAGAACCCAAUGCACCCAAACCUCAGCCUAAUUACAAAUUUAAAUCAGCAGACCCAACCCACCUAAACACCAACCCAACACCCAUAACCCAAACCUCAAUCCAAUAACACCUAGCCCAACAAGAUUAAACCCAAACCCGAGGCCCAAUAUCCAACCAAAAAAAAAUGAAGGCCCAGUAGCCCAAAAUGUUUGAGACUUUUUCAGAAAAAAUGAAACCCUAGCCUACUGCCUAACCCUAGCCGCCUCUGCCUCCUCUAACAUCUUCUAGUAUGGCCGCCGCUCGUAGCCUCUGCCACCACCACCUCUGACGCCGAGCCACCCGUCAAUCACCUACUCCAUCAACGUCAACACCUGCAAACAAGAGAAAAAGCAAUAGCAAAUAAUAGCAAAAAUAUUGUAAAAAAUGGCUAUAAAGCCAUAACCACCACUGUAAAUGGGGUACUCCCUCCCCCCCCCCCCCCCCGAUUUUUGUAUAAAAAAAUAUUAGCAGGGAAAUAAAGAAAAAAAGAUUGAAGGUGAUUUUUUCUUUUCUUUUCUUUUCGGUUUUGUAGACCCGUUUUUCUGUUCUCUUUUCUUUUUUCGUUUACACGUAUGUAAAUAAAGGUAGUAAAUAAAAGGAAAGAAUGAAGACUUACCCAUUUCGCUUUUCAGUUGCGCCGCCGUCGGGGUCUACUCAUCGUUGAAAUCGACCCCGAAAGGUCGAGUUAGGGGGUCCUUCGUCUUGAUUUUUGGGCCAAACGAAUAUAGCCUUCGAUUGGGUCUUAAAACGGGGACUAGAAUGCCCAUUUUGCGCAACGCCGGCCACCGUCCACGGUGGCGCUAUGGCGGCGCUAAGAAGACCCAAAGGCCGAACGUUUGAGAGGGAUGAGGAAAGGUUUUUUUUUGUUUUUUUUAAAUUAGUGGCUGAAAUGUUUUAUAUUUUCAUAUAGUUUUUAUAUACAUAUAUAUAUUCUUAUAUGCACAUACUUAUGUUUUUUUAUACUUUAUAUAUAUAUACACCUAAACAUGCAUAUUUUUUUAUAUGUACAUACAUUCAUAUAUUUUAUAAUUUAUAAUUUAAGUACAUAUAUAUAUAUACAUAAACAUUAUUUUUUUUUGUAAUUUAUAUUUUUAUUAAUUGUUUUAUUUGAUAUUUAUUUAUUUGCUUAUCAUUAUUUUUAUGAAAUGCUUUAGUUCUUUUUACUUCUCAUUAUUUCAUGUAUAAUUUUUUUUAUAUAUGUGUCCUUUUUAUUGUUGCUCGUAUUAUUUUACUUACAUUAUCAUAAUUGUCAUUCCAUUACGUUAAUUUUCACCCAGAUUCAAAAAAAGAAAUUUUAAAAAUAUAAGUAAUACUCGGUAUUUGGGAUCUUCGAGAGAAUCGAGUCCUAACGUAUUGGGUUCCGAUUUUCUUCGUUGAAUCUAAAUAAUUGAGACUACUCUUUUUAUAUAUAUAUAAAAAAAACAUAAAUAAAAGCUCAUUAUUGGGAAUUCAAUACGUUGUGUCCUAACGCAUUGGAUAUGAUACAUUGUUUUCUCGAGAUGAGGAUUUUUCUAAAAAAAUAAAAAUAAGGCAAUGUUUUGAGUUUGGGAAAUUCGAGAAAACGUGCCCUAAUGUGCUGGGUUUCGAUUUCUCGUUUAGCCAAAUAUUCUCUUAAAUCUUAAUCUAUGUCAUUUAAGUUUUUUUAGGAUCGUAUUUUAAAUCUCUUUAAAGUUUUCAGUUUUUCGACGCUAAGACAUUAAGUAAUCAACUAGGUACCAAUUUUGGGCGUAUCGAGGGUGCUAAUCCUCCUCGUGCGUAACCGACUCCCAAACCCGUUUUUCUGAAUUUCGUGGACCAAACUUGUUGUUUUAAUAAAAUCAAAUCAUUUAUUAAAACAACCACUUUUUGAGGUGAUCCGAUCACACCUUAUCAAAAAAGAUUGGUGGCGACUCCCACUUUCGUUUUCAUUUUUCAAAACCCAAGUCGACCCCUUUUUAUCAAAAAAAUGGUGUCAACAACAAUAACAAUAGAAGCACAUCAAAGUCAAAGCACAUAGGCUUUAAGUUCAUUGUUAUUAUAAUAAAAGUUCAGGGUGGUUAGAUGUCUAUAAAGUAUAUUGAGACGAACUCCAUGAUUACGGAUUCGCUUAUUAAGUGACUACCACCCAAAGUUUUUUUCCUGAGCACACUGUUGAUAUGGGUGUAAUGUCAUUUAAGGAUAUUUGAUUUUAGUAGGAGUUUGUACUUUUAAAUGUUUUUAUGUUAUAAACACAUUUUCAAUUAUUUUAGUUUACGAAUAUUAAGUUUAUUUUUUAUAGAAAUAAAGUUUAUUUGGUAAAGUUUGAUCUCACUAAGGUUAAUAAGGACCAGUUAGAAUAUGCAUGUUUGAAUCAUAUUACAUAUAAUUUUCAUGUUACACAUCCAUACUUGAUCUAUGUCAUUUGGUUGUGCUAAUAUAUGUGAUUAGGGAUGGAUUUAAUUAUGAUAUAUGUAACAAAAGUUGCAUUCGUUCUAUGUUAACAUAAUUAAUGGACGAGAUUGUUCGAAAUAUCUUUUGGAUAUGAUAGUAAAAUUUUGAGCUCAUAAGAUUAUAUAAUGACAUGUAAUUAUAAAGUAAUCGGUAUAUAUCAAAAGUCUUUCCCACAUUCAUCAACUAGAAAUCAGAGCUCACCAAAUGUCUAUUCUUUUCAAUCUGAACCGACUCUACAAUCACUUAUUGCUCAUGGUCAUCAGCCUAUAAACCCAGGAGCAUUGUUAACUUCUAAAUCCAAAACACUAAUAUCAGCAUCCAACCCUACAAUGAUAGUAUUAUUGACUCAUUUAAACAAGUUUCCUUUGUCAAUCUAUAUUCCGUAUUUGGUAAUCUCCAGUAUGAAUUCAGAAUUUAGGAUAGCUGGAAUAAGAAUAGCAGCAAAGAUGCAAAGGGAAACGACUUGUAGGAGGAGGAAGAACCUUCUUUUGGGUACAGACCUGUAUAGCAUAUAAUAGGAUGUCCUGUAUAAUGUCACGAGAGCUAGUACCGUUGCCAAGCAGUAAUUAGUAAUGCUGAGUCUAGAAUAGGAAACGGAUCCAGGAGUCGAAAGAGAGAAAAAAUACUGAAGUUCGAGUGUCCGUAUGGAAACAGCAACUAAAAGCAUGUAACAGGUCCCAAACAAGGAAAGUGUUAUGAGAAUAAACAAGCAGAUUGAACGGCUGGGUAGGAGAUAGGCAGUUAAAACAGUUGCUGCCCAAAAGGUUAAAGUGUUGUAUAACCAAAACAUUGUGGACACGUCUAGUAUAUUUUUUAAAUCUUCUUUUUCAGCGGGUGGAGGACUUGGUACGGGUCCAGUGCUGGUUGAACCUAAAGAUGCGUCAUACAUGAGAUGGAAAUUCUGGGAAUUUGAAAUGGUAUCAGGCUGCUUUGGAGGGUUCAAAGUGGCAGUAUAUGUGGCUGUUAUAAUUAGCACUGUGACUACUAAAAAUGUGUUACGCAUCUCAUAUGGGAUUCCCUUCUUUCCACGACUUGCUAUUGUUGCAAAAUUUUGAAGAACUGACACCUUUCCUUUUAAAUAUGCGAUGUGGAAUGAAGAGAUGGAGGUUUUGGGAAGCGAGGAAGAGGAACCACUCAAACCUCCUGCUUUGCUUAUCAUGUCUUUAAUGGACUCCUUAUAGUCCACUUUCUCUUCAUCCAAUGUGUAUUGUGAUGGGAUAUCAAGUGCAGUCAAUCCCUCCGCAUUUUUGGCAUUGAUAUGGUCACCACACAAGCGUUCCAGCAGUACUUUUACCACCUGUUAAUUAGAAUAUUCAUACAAGUAACCUUUGAGUAUAUAUAUACAUAAAAAAUUUCACUAGCAAAAUUAUCAUACCUGAGGUCUAUUUCUGAUAGCAGCAACAUGUAAAACAGUGUUGCCAUCAAUGUCUGCCCAACUCAGUAGUUCUUUCUCCCAACGGCUGGCAGCUUUAUGGCGGCUCCUUAUAAGCCACCCCACCAAGACUUGGAAAGCUUCAAACCUGUCAUUUUUUACGGCAAGAUGGAAAACCGUCUCAUCUCGAACAGUCAUAUCUUCAAUAGCCUCGGGGCAAACCUCAAGGAACUUGAUCAAAAAAUCAACAUUUCCAUUUUGAACCACAUCAUGCAAAGGAGUCAAGCCCUCCCGCCCUUUGACACGAACAAGGCCUUCAUCAAACCUGAGGAGUCGAAGCACUGUUUGAGUUUUUUGAUUUUGCAGAGCCAAGUGCAUGGGGCUAAACCCAGCUUGGUUUAGCUUUCUUGCAAACGAUGGCUUUAAGUUGAUCAUCUCCAUCAUAAAAUCAAUAUGCCCUGCAGAGGCUGCUACAUGCAAAGGAGUAUGGAAAAAAGGUACAUCAUCGAUACGCUGUAAAGCAUAUGGAUCAUUCAGAAUUAACUCAUACAAGAUGUUUAUGUCUCCUGUUUGUGCAGCCCCCUUCAUCUUCUCAUCCAUAGCAAGGUGCGGAAAUUUGCAGAAUAUAGAAAUGGAGUGAAGAAAAAACGCUUUAGCAGAGGAUAUGAUUAUGUUAAGGAUACAAUGAAGUGUUUGAUUAUU